rnacentral:rRNA from 1 species
UGGGGAAUAUUGGGCAAUGGGCGAAAGCCUGACCCAGCCAUGCCGCGUGAGUGAUGAAGGCCUUCGGGUCGUAAAGCUCUGUGGGGAGGGACGAAACAGCCUCUGGCUAACAUCCAGGGGCCUUGACGGUACCUCCUUAGCAAGCACCGGCUAACUCCGUGCCAGCAGCCGCGGUAAUACGGAGGGUGCAAACGUUGCUCGGAAUCAUUGGGCGUAAAGCGCACGUAGGCGGUCCGGAAAGUCGGGUGUGAAAUCCCUCGGCUCAACCGAGGAAGUGCAUUCGAAACUUCCGGACUUGAAUAUGGAAGAGGGUCGCGGAAUUCCCGGUGUAGAGGUGAAAUUCGUAGAUAUCGGGAGGAACACCAGUGGCGAAGGCGGCGACCUGGGCCAAUAUUGACGCUGAGGUGCGAAAGCGUGGGGAGCAAACAG